UGAGGAAUAUUGGACAAUGGGCGCAAGCCUGAUCCAGCCAUGCCGCGUGCAGGAAGAAGCAUCUAUGGUGUGUAAACUGCUUUUGUACGGGAAGAAACACUCCUACGUGUAGGAGCUUGACGGUACCGUAAGAAUAAGGAUCGGCUAACUCCGUGCCAGCAGCCGCGGUAAUACGGAGGAUCCAAGCGUUAUCUGGAAUCAUUGGGUUUAAAGGGUCCGUAGGCGGUUUAGUAAGUCAGUGGUGAAAGCCCAUCGCUCAACGAUGGAACGGCCAUUGAUACUGCUAGACUUGAAUUAUUAGGAAGUAACUAGAAUAUGUAGUGUAGCGGUGAGAUGCUUAGAUAUUACAUGGAAUACCAAUUGCGAAGGCAGGUUACUACUAAUGGAUUGACGCUGAUAGACGAAAGCGUGAGGGGCGAACA
rnacentral:rRNA from 1 species